GUGAGUAACACGUGGGUAACCUGCCUGUAAGACUGGGAUAACUCCGGGAAACCGGGGCUAAUACCGGAUGGUUGUUUGAACCGCAUGGUUCAGACAUAAAAGGUGGCUUCGGCUACCACUUACAGAUGGAACCGCGGCGCAUUAGCUAGUUGGUGAGGUAACGGCUCACCAAGGCGACGAUGCGUAGCCGACCUGAGAGGGUGAUCGGCCACACUGGGACUGAGACACGGCCCAGACUCCUACGGGAGGCAGCAGUAGGGAAUCUUCCGCAAUGGACGAAAGUCUGACGGAGCAACGCCGCGUGAGUGAUGAAGGUUUUCGGAUCGUAAAGCUCUGUUGUUAGGGAAGAACAAGUGGCGUUCAAAUAGGGCGGCACCUUGACGGUACCUAACCAGUAAGCCACGGCUAACUACGUGCCAGCAGCCGCGGUAAUACGUAGGUGGCAAGCGUUGUCCGGAAUUAUUGGGCGUAAAGGGCUCGCAGGCGGUUUCUUAAGUCUGAUGUGAAAGCCCCCGGCUCAACCGGGGAGGGUCAUUGGAAACUGGGGAACUUGAGUGCAGAAGAGGAGAGUGGAAUUCCACGUGUAGCGGUGUAAUGCGUAGAGAUGUGGAGGAACACCAGUGGCGAAGGCGACUCUCUGGUCUGUAACUGACGCUGAGGAGCGAAAGCGUGGGGAGCGAACAGGAUUAGAUACCCUGGUAGUCCACGCCGUAAACGAUGAGUGCUAAGUGUUAAGGGGUUUCCGCCCCUUAGUGCUGCAGCUAACGCAUUAAGCACUCCGCCUGGGGAGUACGGUCGCAAGACUGCAACUCAAAGGAAUUGACGGGGGCCCGCACAAGCGGUGGAGCAUGUGGUUUAAUUCGAAGCAACGCGAAGAACCUUACCAGGUCUUGACAUCCUCUGACAAUCCUAGAGAUAGGACGUCCCCUUCGGGGGCAGAGUGACAGGUCGUGCAUGGUUGUCGUCAGCUCGUGUCGUGAGAUGUUGGGUUAAGUCCCGCAACGAGCGCAACCCUUGAUCUUAGUUGCCAGCAUUCAGUUGGGCACUCUAAGGUGACUGCCGGUGACAAACCGGAGGAAGGUGGGGAUGACGU
rnacentral:rRNA from 1 species